rnacentral:rRNA from 1 species
AAAGGAGCAAUCCGCUUUGAGAUGGCCUCGCGUCCGAUUAGCUAGUUGGUGAGGUAACGGCCCACCAAGGCAACGAUCGGUAGCCGGACUGAGAGGUUGAACGGCCACAUUGGGACUGAGACACGGCCCAGACUCCUACGGGAGGCAGCAGUGGGGAAUAUUGCACAAUGGGGGAAACCCUGAUGUAGCGACGCCGCGUGGAGGAAGAAGGUCUUCGGAUUGUAAACUCCUGUUGUUGAGGAAGAUAAUGACGGUACUCAACAAGGAAGUGACGGCUAACUACGUGCCAGCAGCCGCGGUAAAACGUAGGUCACAAGCGUUGUCCGGAAUUACUGGGUGUAAAGGGAGCGCAGGCGGGAAGACAAGUUGGAAGUGAAAUCCAUGGGCUCAACCCAUGAACUGCUUUCAAAACUGUUUUUCUUGAGUAGUGCAGAGGUAGGCGGAAUUCUCGGUGUAGCAGUGAAAUGCGUAGAUAUCGAGAGGAACACUCGUGGCGAAGGCGGGUUCCUGGACAUUAACUGACGCUGAGGCACGAAGGCCAGGGGAGCGAAAGGGAUUAGAUACCCCUGUAGUCCUGGCAGUAAACGGUGCACGCUUGGUGUGCGGGGAAUCGACCCCCUGCGUGCCGGAGCUAACGCGUUAAGCGUGCCGCCUGGGGAGUACGGUCGCAAGAUUAAAACUCAAAGAAAUUGACGGGGACCCGCACAAGCGGUGGAGUAUGUGGCUUAAUUCGAUGCAACGCGAAGAACCUUACCUGGGCUUGACAUGUAAUGAACAACAUGUGAAAGCAUGCGACUCUUCGGAGGCGUUACACAGGUGCUGCAUGGCCGUCGUCAGCUCGUGUCGUGAGAUGUUUGGUUAAGUCCAGCAACGAGCGCAACCCCUGUUGCCAGUUACCAGCACGUGAAGGUGGGGACUCUGGCGAGACUGCCCAGAUCAACUGGGAGGAAGGUGGGGACGACGUCAGGUCAGUAUGGCCCUUAUGCCCAGGGCUGCACACGUACUACAAUGCCCAGUACAGAGGGGGCCGAAGCCGCGAGGCGGAGGAAAUCCUGAAAACUGGGCCCAGUUCGGACUGUAGGCUGCAACCCGCCUACACGAAGCCGGAAUCGCUAGUAAUGGCGCAUCAGCUACGGCGCCGUGAAUACGUUCCCGGGUCUUGCACACACCGCCCGUCA